rnacentral:lncRNA from 1 species
CCAAACCGACGCAACGCGAUCGAGAGAAAAUCCGUCAUCACUCGCCACCACCCACUUGCGAGAACCAGCCUUUGCUUCGUAUCCAACCUCUGAAUUUCACAGGAGACCCAUAAAGAUCCCACCUUUUCUCUCAGAAGGAAGCAGCAGCAGCAGCAGCGGAAGAAGAAGAAGAAGAUGAGUUACUUGAACAGGGCGUGGGUGGCGGUCGGCGUGGCGGCGGUGCAGGGCCACUCGGACCAGGGCAUGCGGCUGAAGUACGGCGUGAAAUCGAU